GUCUAUGAUGAUUUGAAUCAUUAUUUUUAAGUUUGAGUUUAAAUUCUAUUCUAUGUUAAAAUAAUUCUGAGGUCACAAGAAGAGUAUUCUUUUUAAUGAUUUUGGCACUGAAGGAAGCCAUGUCAGGAUUAUCACUGGUGUUCUGUUGCAGGGACAUAGCAAUAUUUCAUGUUACAAAUAUUUUUACCAUGAGCAUCAGUCUUCUCAGGAAGUUGGCAAUAUCAUGUGUCCUUUAUAGACUGCCAGAAAGAUUCAAUUCCAUGUUCCAGGUCUAAAAACAGAAGCAAAAUAAAAUUUUAUAAGACUUUCCACCUCCGUGUUCUAUGUUGUCUACAGAUGCAGAAAUGUAUCAGUGUUUGUGCAAGUAUAGAUAUGCAAACAAAGCACUAGAAAGUACAAAUUUUCAUUCAUUGGUCUUCACUGAUUGCUUUAUACACAACAUUUACUUCUAUGAGUGAGUUGCCAAUUCCCCUCACUGGAGAAUUGGAGAGUGAUAUAACAAAUACACAGAAAUCCAAAGAUCUGCUUCCAAAACCAUAUUGUAAUUUAGUAUUAAAUGAAAGUUAAUACACCCUUGGCAGAUAAUUACUAUGCUUUAAAAGUUCAGAGGUUGUUGCCUGUGAUAAACUAGAUCCAUAAAUGUAUUUUCUGAAACACUAUCUUAGCAUAAUCUUCUUAUUAGGAAUUAAUGCAGAUAUAGAAACCAUAUCAGCUGUUGUCUCAAGAAUUUUAGCCCCCUUCUGAAGUGUGUAUAAAAGAGUUUAUCCAGACUCCCUAAAACUUUUCCAGAUGCCCUCUGGAAGUCUCUGACUAUUGGUUCCGAACAUGGAUGCAAUACUCCGUCUCUUCAAAUGGUACCAUAAAAGUACCAUUGGAAACACCUUUUCAGCACCUCAACAGCAAUUGGUUCCGAACAUGGAUGCAAUACUCCGUCUCUUCAAAUGGUACCAUAAAAGUACCAUUGAAAACACCUUUUCAGCACCUCAACAGUGCUUUGUGACAGUUCCAAGCAAGUCAAGUGCUUUAGUGAGGACUGUCUUAUGCCUAGGAACACAACCAUAAAGAACCCAACCAGGAUUAUAGAGUUUAUAUAUGCUUCUACUUACAAAACGAGAGGAGUUGUCAUUUCUCACGGUCUUGGCAUUACCAUAAGCCUCCAGCAAGGGGUUUGCUGCAACAAUUUGGUCUUCCAGCGACCCCUAGUGAGGAUGGCAGGUGCAGAAAGAAAUAUGAGCAGUGUCAUACCAGUGAGCAUGAACUGAUAGGCAUUAUCAGAGAUGGAGAAGAUGUGAGGUGGGGCUUCAAUCCUCUUCUUUCCUCUGUAUCCAGAAACAACUUUUUCAUCAUACACUGGGAGCCACUUGUACGGGUUCACAGUAACGCAGAACAACCCAGAGUGAUUCUUACAUAGAUCAUCCAUGCUGCAUAACGCUCUUUGAGGUUAAAUAGCACAGCAGGUUCAUUGAGAUGGGUCAUCAUGGCCAUGUCCUCAAUUUUGUCAUACUUUGGAGGAUUCAUUGGAAAGAUUUCAUCUUCCUUAACUGUGACGGUUUCGACAGUGGCUUUGCCACCCUCUUUACUUUUCAAGGUACCUUUGAGGUACAUCUCAGCUGCAUCGACCACAAAGUAUGCUGUUUUGGCUUCAAAAGGUUUGUUCUGAGCCUCAAUCCUUUCCUUUUCCGGCUUCCGGAGGUAGAUGGCCGCUGGGCCGAAACACUCCAUUUCCCCAUCUCCCAUGGUGGUGUGUUACUGUGGAGUUAAUUAACAUGGACAUGCCUUAUUUUAUUACUUAGAAUGAAGCCACAUAAUUGUUUUAUAACAAUAACAAUUUUUUAUGUCAAAUAUGUACAUACCUGUUGGUAAGUUUAUGUUGGGGUCAACAACAAAUUACUAUUUAUUUAUUUAAAAAUUUGCUUAUUUAUUUAUGUGUGUGUGUGUGUGUGUUUGUUUGAUUAUUUAUUUAAUUGUAUUUCAAUUUUUGAUGUUUUAGAAAAAUUCACAAAUUUAAUUUUAAUUAAAUUUAAUUUAAUUUAAUUAAUUAAUUAAUGACAGCCUGGCUGUUUGGAUAUGGUCGGUAUAGACAGGGUAAACAAAUCCACAUUUAACAUGUUUUAAAGUUCAUACAUACACAAUUAGCAUUGUACCUUAUUUGAUAACAAGAGGAGAACUUGGCUGGCAAAUUGUGAACACUGGAAGAAAAAGUAAAGAUGAGUUUAGACAUACAUUUGUAAACACGAUCAAAUUCAGCAUCUUAGAAAUCCAACAUUAUACAAAUAUAAUUCUCAAACAUGAGACACCAGCACUGAGCUGGAUAUUUUCUCACCGAGGCAGGGUGCUUCAGGUUCCUUCAGUCCUUGGCGUUGCCGGUUAUAUAGCAGCAUUACCGUUCACUCAGCAGAAUUGUCUAGCUAUAUAUGGCUACAUAGCAUUACUUAAUAUAAUGUAUGUUUGUGUUAUAUAUAACACUAUUAAGGACUUGUCUUGAUGGCAAGUGCUGGUGUUUCUUAGAAAGAUUCCUUCUAAUCUUCCUUAUAAGAUCUUUUUUUUUACUAUAUACAUUAAAUUAUCAUCUAAGCAUUUCUUAUUUCUUCUAUUAACAAUUUCUUCUAUUAACAUCUAAGCAUUUCUUAUGCAAAGUUAUUCAGUUAUGCCUAUUCAAAUUUGUGUAAAUAUUCAGACACAUUGUCUAUUGAGUAUCCUCUAAAUAUCCUUUAAAAACAUAUUUAUACUACUUUUAAAUUAAUCAAAUUUAAAAGUUUAAUGGAGUUUAUGAAUUAUUUUUUUAGUGCUUCCUGUCUCUUCACUCAAAUGAAAUCGGAUGUGGAGGAAAAACUCUGUUCCCACUGGUGUUGAGUUUCAGAUAUUCUGAAAAUACAUACAAUUUCAUUUGCGUGAAGAGAUGGGAAGCAUUGACCCAAAUAAAAUGGAAUUGAAUAGCACAUUGUCAUUUUUUAUAAUAAUUAUUUAUGAUAAAAUCUCUUGAGAUGCAUGACAUUCAUCUAAAGAUACUGCAGAUACUGACAUGACUUGGAUACAUGAUAACAUUUACUGGAUCUAACAUUUAGCGCUCUUUAAGUGCCAGCAGAGUAUCAAAUUAAAAUGGAACAAAUUUUAGUCUAAGAUUGAUUACUAGUAGCUGACCAUAAGAAAGAUAAUAUGUUUUGGCAAUUUUACAAGCAAGUGAAAUUUAGAAGUAAUAAGUUUUGAUUUGUCAAAAUGAAAUACUGAAUCUGAAUUAUUACAAUUAGAAUGUUUCUAUUACGAUUAAAUGCAAAUAUAGGAACAAGCUAGCUGUCUGGUUUUGGCCUCAGAGAUGUUGUAGUGCAGUAUAUUAAUGUUUAUAAGUGUAAUGAGAUUAAACAUGAGACAUAGCUGCUGUAAUUUUGGAAGUGUCUCCUUGUUUAUUUUAAUUAAGUAUUAAAAUGUGAAAGUUAUUAUUAUUUAAGUUGAUGCAAAUCCUUAAGUACGGCGUUUUUGGAUAAAUGAACAUAAAUUCAUGUUACAUUAAAAAAACGCAUCAAUCUUAGUCCCAGUUCCAGACAGUUUACACAUGUUGGCGUUUACAAUCAAUAUAUUCAUAAUUCUGAUGUAAUUAUUUAAUAGAAAAUAAAGUGACAGCACAUGCCAGGUCUCCUGAGAGAGAAGGAACUUUUAUUGUCUUGCAUGACAUUUUUAUUUUGUGUUAGCAAAAAUCGUUCAUGUUUCUAAGCAACUGUUCUGGAAAAUAGACCUCUCCAAUUGUGGUGCUGUGUUACAUGUUCACACUGACUAUUUCUGAAGGCUUUGAAUUUGCAAGUGUGCAUACAGUUCAUAUUCUCAGUCGUUGUGCUUAUAGUGGGAUGUUUUCGAUUCUUACCUGAAGUUCACUGAGACUUUAGACAUUUGUCUCCAGUUGUAAACUGUUUGAAUAUAUUUGUGAGUGUGGGGUUCAUACUGUGAGAUACUGAGAGGUGAAUGUGUGAAAAUCAGGAAUUGUCAAAUAAUCUCCAUUGUGUAUCCAGUGCAACGUGUCAUUCCCUGGCCUGGUUUAUCAGUUUUGCUUUAAAAGUGCACAAUUUCAGUGUUAAAAUUUAAGACAUCACAAGUCUCGUUUAGUAUUCUUUGCUUUUUGGAAAUUCUAAAAUCUGAUUUUCAAUUUGUAUUUCUUGCUAAUGAGCAAGCCAGACAGUGUGAGGAAAAACUCCCUCAUUGACAUCAUCUCAUUGACACUAGAGUGUGUGAGUGUCAGUUUUUUUUUUUUUUUUGUAUGUGUGUAUUAUAUUGUCAUGUGCAGUUGUAUAACUAGAAGCUUUUGAGAAAUUUAUGAGAAUUAGCAUCAGUGUAAUAAAUCAUUGAUGGACCAUCAGUUCCAUCUCCUCAUCUUUCUCAUCCAGUUUCCUGUCAGUCUCACUUUACCUGGUUGAGCUGAAGAAAGGGUUGGUUGGUUGGUUCAUGUUCAAGCGUACUCAGUACUCUUGCAUCAUGUUGAACAAUAUAAUGCAGAUCCAGUUUUAAAUUAUUUCUGCAGCUACACAUAGUUACCUUAGCUUCCUCAAGAGCAGUCUGUGUUACUGAUUUCUUGUUUUCCACUUUACCUUUGUCUUUGUUUGCCUUCUCUAGCUCAUGGAUGGUCUUUCCAUCCUGCUUGUGUGCCUCUUGAAGGGCUUUUGAAGGACGUUCUCCUAGAUUGCGCUCAUCCUGUAAUGAAGAUUAUUUCAAGGGUCUGAAGGAGUGUGCUGUUUCGGCUCUCCGUCACCCAGCAGCUGAAUCAUGUCAGAGCCCAAAAUGAACAGCUUUACAAUAAAUAAUGCGUUCCCUUGUCGGGUCUCACCAGUUACUCUUCCAUGUGUGACGGACGUCGGGGUCGUGGAUGCCAUGUUUGUCCGCCUGCUCGUCCAGGAAGUCGAACAUAUAUUUGAUGGCGAGCGGGAGCGCACUGCCACGAUUGGCCGUGCUGAAGAGCGUCUCGAACAGAUCAUCUACAAACUUCUGCAACGUGCCCUGCAGAAACACAUAUAUAACUGGUCCAAAAGAUCAGACACUCACCGUAUCGGCUGAAGCUCCGAGGGAAGCUGGCUGACGUUGAGAUGUUGUAAGAGGACAUCUGCUUAGCUCUCGGAGCACCGGGUGGUCGUCCAUGCCCGGAAACAGGAUCCUCAUGAUAUAGGUGCGGUAAUCCAGGUGUGGGAUCCCAGCCCGGUCCAGAUCACUCGUCAGCUCGUUUAUGUCUGUCUGGAGCUCUGCAAAAGCUGAAAGUGCAUGCGCGUGCACGCGCACACACACGCACACGCACACACACACACGUCAGGAACAGUACUCAGAACAUCAACUGUAUGAUUUAACACUUAUUUUCUCUGACAACUUAUGGUUCUAUUCUACUGCGAUAAUAAUUUUAAAGUGAUGCUUUGAUUCUAUGAAUUGAUUCAGUGGGGCGAUGAUGGAUGAUUUUCAUCACCACAUGAUUCUUUUAUUCCAAGAUUUUUUAAAUUGUUGACUAUGAGUUGAUUCUCUUCUGUGACCAUUUGGUUCUAUGACCUUUGCUAUAACUGCUUACUAUUAGUUUUUUUCCCAUCACAUUAAUAUUGUGGCAGUGCUGUAGCACACUGUAACUGAAUCUAUCAUUCUAGAUAAAUAUUCUCUGUGAUUCUUUUUAGAACUAUGUUUGAUUUUAUUAUUCUUUUCUAUGAUCACAAACGAUUUAUUGAUUUCAAAUUAAGCUUUUUUGACCAAAUAAUUAAUUGGUUCCAUGAUACUAUUAUAUAAUUACAUUAUAAUUUGAUUCCUUUCUAGAUGAUUUUGAAUCUUUUUAUGGCCAAGUGAUUCUGUGUUUCUAAGAUUUUAUGAUUCUUUCCCAUAAUUCUGUUGUUUUUCUAUGAUUCUACUGUUGUGACUCUAUAGCAAAUAUUUUACACACAGAUGUCUAUAAUUUUUACAAGUAUAUGAUUUUUGUAAUUCUGGAGCAUCAAUAAAUCCAUGAAGCCCUGA